rnacentral:rRNA from 1 species
GAUGAACGCUGACAGAAUGCUCAACACAUGCAAGUCAACUUGAAUUUGGGUUUUUAACUUAGGUUUGGGUGGCGGACGGGUGAGUAACGCGUAAAGAACUUGCCUCACAGCUAGGGACAACAUUUGGAAACGAAUGCUAAUACCUAAUAUUAUGAUAAUAGGGCAUCCUAUAAUUAUGAAAGCUAUAAGCGCUGUGAGAGAGCUUUGCGUCCCAUUAGCUAGUUGGAGAGGUAACGGCUCACCAAGGCGAUGAUGGGUAGCCGGCCUGAGAGGGUGAUCGGCCACAAGGGGACUGAGACACGGCCCUUACUCCUACGGGAGGCAGCAGUGGGGAAUAUUGGACAAUGGACCGAGAGUCUGAUCCAGCAAUUCUGUGUGCACGAUGAAGUUUUUCGGAAUGUAAAGUGCUUUCAGUUGGGAAGAAAAAAAUGACGGUACCAACAGAAGAAGUGACGGCUAAAUACGUGCCAGCAGCCGCGGUAAUACGUAUGUCACGAGCGUUAUCCGGAUUUAUUGGGCGUAAAGCGCGUCUAGGUGGUUAUAUAAGUCUGAUGUGAAAAUGCAGGGCUCAACUCUGUAUUGCGUUGGAAACUGUAUAACUAGAGUACUGGAGAGGUAAGCGGAACUACAAGUGUAGAGGUGAAAUUCGUAGAUAUUUGUAGGAAUGCCGAUGGGGAAGCCAGCUUACUGGACAGAUACUGACGCUGAAGCGCGAAAGCGUGGGUAGCAAACAGG